rnacentral:rRNA from 1 species
UGCCAGCCGCCGCGGUAAUACGGAGGGUGCAAACGUUGCUCGGAAUCACUGGGCGUAAAGCGCGCGUAGGCGGUCUGUUAAGUUGGGUGUGAAAGCCCCGGGCUCAACCUGGGAAGUGCACCCAAAACUGGCAGACUUGAAUCUCGGAGGGGGCCAGAGAAUUCCCGGUGUAGAGGUGAAAUUCGUAGAUAUCGGGAGGAAUACCAGUGGCGAAGGCGCUGGCCUGGACGAUGAUUGACGCUGAGGCGCGAAAGCAUGGGGAGCGAACAGGAUUAGAUA